GGGCGUUUGGCACAGUGGUAGCGCGCACGCUUUGCAUGCGUGAGGUCAAGGGUUCAAACCCCUUAACGUCCA
rfam:Trametes cinnabarina, BRFM137, WGS project CCBP01000000 data, contig: scf184857